GAUGAACGCUGGCGGCGUGCCUAAUACAUGCAAGUCGAGCGAACGGACGAGAAGCUUGCUUCUCUGAUGUUAGCGGCGGACGGGUGAGUAACACGUGGAUAACCUACCUAUAAGACUGGGAUAACUUCGGGAAACCGGAGCUAAUACCGGAUAAUAUUUUGAACCGCAUGGUUCAAAAGUGAAAGACGGUCUUGCUGUCACUUAUAGAUGGAUCCGGGCUGCAUUAGCUAGUUGGUAAGGUAACGGCUUACCAAGGCAACGAUGCAUAGCCGACCUGAGAGGGUGAUCGGCCACACUGGAACUGAGACACGGUCCAGACUCCUACGGGAGGCAGCAGUAGGGAAUCUUCCGCAAUGGGCGAAAGCCUGACGGAGCAACGCCGCGUGAGUGAUGAAGGUCUUCGGAUCGUAAAACUCUGUUAUUAGGGAAGAACAUAUGUGUAAGUAACUGUGCACAGCUUGACGGUACCUAAUCAGAAAGCCACGGCUAACUACGUG
rnacentral:rRNA from 1 species